AGGCUGCUCCCAUCUCAGUUCAGCCUCAGCAGGUUAGGGGUCUGGGGAAGGCAGUUUCUCUGCGGGCCUCAGCUUCUUUAUGUGUAAAAUGUGGACGCCAGGCCUGUUGUGGGAACAGGCAGCCCAGGGGUGCCACCCGUGAGGUCACUGGCUGCUCACUCCAUCUGCUGCUGCCCUCAGUUCCCUCGCCUCACCCCACGUUGUCCCUGCGGCCUCCUGCACAGACGUGGGCUGGGCAGGUGUGCAGUGGAGGCCGAGAAACCUGCCUGCCCAAGAACUACCUGACAGGCAUCCUGUCAGGGAGCGGUCCCCCCUUGGGACGGUCCCUGGUCAUUAGCUGGACGGCAAGCAGGACAGCGGCUCAGAGAGGCCCAGCCCCUUCCUUAAGUGCUCCCGUGGGCGGGAUUCAAGUCCUGAUCUUGACCAUCUCUCUCCCUGCAGGCAUCACGUGGGGCAAGGUGGUGUCCCUGUAUGCGGUGGCCGCGGGGCUGGCCGUGGACUGUGUGAGGCAGGCCCAGCCUGCCAUGGUCCACGCCCUCGUGGACUGCCUGGGGGAGUUCGUGCGCAAGACCCUGGCAACCUGGCUGCGGAGACGCGGCGGAUGGGUGAGCGCCUGAGUGCCCGUGUGGGUGAGAG
rnacentral:circRNA from 1 species